rnacentral:rRNA from 1 species
AACGAACGCUGGCGGCGUGGAUAAGACAUGCAAGUCGAACGAGAGAAUUGCUAGCUUGCUAAUAAUUCUCUAGUGGCGCACGGGUGAGUAACACGUGAGUAACCUGCCCCCGAGAGCGGGAUAGCCCUGGGAAACUGGGAUUAAUACCGCAUAGUAUCGAAAGAUUAAAGCAGCAAUGCGCUUGGGGAUGGGCUCGCGGCCUAUUAGUUAGUUGGUGAGGUAACGGCUCACCAAGGCGAUGACGGGUAGCCGGUCUGAGAGGAUGUCCGGCCACACUGGAACUGAGACACGGUCCAGACACCUACGGGUGGCAGCAGUCGAGAAUCAUUCACAAUGGGGGAAACCCUGAUGGUGUGACGCCGCGUGGGGGAAUGAAGGUCUUCGGAUUGUAAACCCCUGUCAUGUGGGAGCAAAUUAAAAAGAUAGUACCACAAGAGGAAGAGACGGCUAACUCUGUGCCAACAGCCGCGGUAAUACAGAGGUCUCAAGCGUUGUUCGGAAUCACUGGGCGUAAAGCGUGCGUAGGCUGUUUCGUAAGUCGUGUGUGAAAAGGCGCGGGCUCAGCCCGCGGACGGCACAUGAUACUGCGAGACUAGAGUAAUGGAGGGGGAACCGGAAUUCUCGGUGUAGCAGUGAAAUGCGUAGAUAUCGAGAGGAACACUCGUGGCGAAGGCGGGUUCCUGGACAUUAACUGACGCUGAGGCACGAAGGCCAGGGGAGCGAAAGGGAUUAGAUACCCCUGUAGUCCUGGCAGUAAACGGUGCACGCUUGGUGUGCGGGGAAUCGACCCCCUGCGUGCCGGAGCUAACGCGUUAAGCGUGCCGCCUGGGGAGUACGGUCGCAAGAUUAAAACUCAAAGAAAUUGACGGGGACCCGCACAAGCGGUGGAGUAUGUGGCUUAAUUCGAUGCAACGCGAAGAACCUUACCUGGGCUUGACAUGUAAUGAACAACAUGUGAAAGCAUGCGACUCUUCGGAGGCGUUACACAGGUGCUGCAUGGCCGUCGUCAGCUCGUGUCGUGAGAUGUUUGGUUAAGUCCAGCAACGAGCGCAACCCCUGUUGCCAGUUACCAGCACGUGAAGGUGGGGACUCUGGCGAGACUGCCCAGAUCAACUGGGAGGAAGGUGGGGACGACGUCAGGUCAGUAUGGCCCUUAUGCCCAGGGCUGCACACGUACUACAAUGCCCAGUACAGAGGGGGCCGAAGCCGCGAGGCGGAGGAAAUCCUGAAAACUGGGCCCAGUUCGGACUGUAGGCUGCAACCCGCCUACACGAAGCCGGAAUCGCUAGUAAUGGCGCAUCAGCUACGGCGCCGUGAAUACGUUCCCGGGUCU